GUCCCCUCUCAGGUCUGGAGCUCAGAGCUGGAGCGGAAGCCUAUGGUGGUGGCUGGAAGCCACCCCAGCUCUCUGACCCGGAGUGGGAGAGUCACCGUAGAAAGUGCUGUGCGGGAGCUCCUGAAACGCCUAUCCUUGUCUAAAUAGUUAAGCAGAGGCGAUAUCACACCCCGGAGCACGGCUGAGGCCAGCCGCCCUCACAGCCGUGAAUGGCAGCGUCUGGCGGUGCGGAAACUGGUUUCUGGAGUGACUUGCAGUGUGUUGCGCUCAGCUGGACGGUGACUAUGGUGGCAGCCCUGUCUCGAGGUGCACGGUGUCCUGACUGGAACAACUCCACGUGGUUCCUGGUGUGCGAUAACUCACGAAAGGCUCAGGACACUGAGGAGCACACAGCACCCAGCCCGGCCUGCACACGCCUCCUGCUCCAGUGCCCUGACCUAAGAACACCUUUGGUUCCAUCUCAUCCAACUGCCUACCUCCUGCCAGGGUGCCGGAAAUGCGUUCCCACCUGCUGCGGUACAGAAGGAACCUGCAUAGGGCAAAGUGGGGUCCCCGUCCCUUCUUCAGCAGAGACCCCUCAGACCGUC
rnacentral:lncRNA from 1 species